rnacentral:lncRNA from 1 species
CAUUUUGGAGCUUUAAGAUUUGACUGCACUGCUGGAUUUUGAACUUGCAUUGGGCCGGUAGCCCCUUUGUUUCAGCUAGUUUCUGACAUUUGGAAUGGCUGUAUUUACCCAAUGCCUUUACCCCCAUUGUACCUUGGAAGUACCUGAUUUGCUUUUGAUUUUACAGGCUCAUAGGUGGAAGGGACUUGCCUUGUCUCAAAUAAGACUUUAGACUGUGGACUUUUAGUUAAUGCUGAAAUGAGUUAAGACUUUGGGGGACUGUUGGGAAAGAAUAAUUUGUUUUGAAAUGUGAGGACAUGAGAUUUGGAGGGGCCAGGGGCAGAAAGAUAUGGCUUGCCUCUGUGUUUCCACCCAAAUCUCAUCUUGAAUUGUACUCCCGUAUUUCCUAUGUGUUAUGGGAGGGACGUGGUGGGAGAUAAUUUGAAUCAUGGGGGCAGUUUUCCCCACACUGUUCUCAUGGUAGUGAAUAAGUCUCAAGAGAUCUGAUGGUUUUUUUCAAGAUUUCUGCUUUUGCAUCUUCCUCAUUUUCUCUUGCUGACACCAUGUAAGAAGUGCCUUUUGCCUCCUGCCAUGAUUCUGAGGUCUUCUGAGCCAUAUGGAACCGGGAUGAAUCUGGAAACCAUCAUUUUCAGCAAACUGGCACAAGAACAGAAAACCAAACACUGCAUGUUCUUACUCAUAGAGAUAAUCAAGUUUCAAAUGAUCAUGCAACAAAAGUUCCAUCCAGUUCCAGGUGAAGACACCACCCCUGCUCAUCAAGAAGCUUUUCUGCCUCCGCUAGAUAGAGCAGGGUGAGAGUUCCGUGAUCCUCAGUAGGGACUACACCUCAAGAGAGCUUGAAGCAGUUACAGAAAAAAGACCAUUGGACCCUCUGCCUCCCAUAAAGAUUUAUGUGGAUCACAUCUCUCAGAGGGGAGAUGAGUCAGGGAAAUAGGGUCUAGAGACAGGGAACAUAAGGUUGAUUCAAACUUGAGCUGACAGGAAAUAUCCUCUCCACAGGGCAUAGGCCAAGUAAAUGAGCUUGUAACUUUACUUUAUCCUCUCCAUUUACAUAGGAUAUAC